GAUGAACGCUGGCGGCGUGCCUAAUACAUGCCAGUCGAGCGAACGGACGAGAAGCUUGCUUCUCUGAUGUUAGCGGCGGACGGGUGAGUAACACGUGGAUAACCUACCUAUAAGACUGGGAUAACUUCGGGAAACCGGAGCUAAUACCGGAUAAUAUUUUGAACCGCAUGGUUCAAAAGUGAAAGACGGUCUUGCUGUCACUUAUAGAUGGAUCCGCGCUGCAUUAGCUAGUUGGUAAGGUAACGGCUUACCAAGGCAACGAUGCAUAGCCGACCUGAGAGGGUGAUCGGCCACACUGGAACUGAGACACGGUCCAGACUCCUACGGGAGGCAGCAGUAGGGAAUCUUCCGCAAUGGGCGAAAGCCUGACGGAGCAACGCCGCGGGAGUGAUGAAGGUCUUCGGAUCGUAAAACUCUGUUAUUAGGGAAGAACAUAUGUGUAAGUAACUGUGCACAUCUUGACGGUACCUAAUCAGAAAGCCACGGCUAACUACGU
rnacentral:rRNA from 1 species